ACUCCUUGUGAAAGUCCCCAACACUUUUGAAUGGCCUUUUCCUGACAAUCCUCUCCAGGCUGCAGUCAUCCCUGCUGCUUGUGCACCUUUUUCUUCCACAUUUUUCCCUUCCACAUAACUUUCUAUUAAUGUGCUUUCAUACAGCACUUUGGGAACAUCCAACUUCCUUCGCAAUUACCUUUUGAGGCUUUCCCUCCUUAUGGAGGUUGUCAAUGAUGGUUUUCUGCACAACUGUCAGGUCAGCAGUCUUCCCCAUGAUUGUGAUUCCUACUGAACCAGACUGAGAGACCAUUUAAAGGCUC